rnacentral:rRNA from 1 species
ACACUGAGACAGNUGCUGCAUGGCUGUCGUCAGCUCGUGUUGUGAGAUGUUGGGUUAAGUCCCGCAACGAGCGCAACCCUUAUCCUUAGUUGCCAGCGAUUCGGUCGGGAACUCUGGGGAGACUGCCGGUGAUAAACCGGAGGGAGGUGGGGACGACGUCAAGUCAUCAUGGCCCUUACGGGAUGGGCUACACACGUGCUACAAUGGCGCGUACAAAGGGCAGCGAACCUGCGAGGGUAANCGAAUCUCAUAAAGCGCGUCGUAGUCCGGAUUGGAGUCUGCAACUCGACUCCAUGAAGUCGGAAUCGCUAGUAAUCGUGGAUCAGAAUGCCACGGUGAAUACGUUCCCGGGCCUUGUACACACCGCCCGUCACACCAUGGGAGUGGGCUGCACCAGAAGUGGUUAGUUUAACCUUCGGGAGAACGAUCACCACGGUGUGGUUCAUGACUGGGGUGAAGUCG